rnacentral:lncRNA from 1 species
CUGUGGCUGCAGCUGCAACAACCGAGUGAGCAGCAUGAGGCUGACCUGUGGGCCUGUUAUACCGGGCAGCUGCAGCUGCCUAUGCAGCACAGCCUCAUGUUCCUGCUGAUUCGCUGCACGAUACGCGGCCACGCGGCCUCUAUCCACGAGCAGCUGAUUCGCCUUGCUGCUAGCUCCUAGUCCUAGCCUUUCACCUCCAACUCCCAAUUUUGGCACUAUGCAAAAAGAAGAUUCCCCAUCACAUCAAACUUGCGGUACAUGCAUGGAGUACUAAAUAUAGACGAAAUUAAAAACUAAUUGUAUAGUUUUGUUAUACUUUGCGAGACGAAUCUUUUGAGCCUAAUUAGUCAAUAUUUGGAUAAUAAUUCACAAAUACAAACGAAACGCUACAGUAUGCUACAGUACUGUAACAGUAAUUUGACACCUCCAAACUUUGACAACUAAACAAGAUCCUAGCUGGGUCCUGGGUAGAGGCACAGCUCAU